AUAAAGCUAGAUUACCAAAGCA
rnacentral:miRNA from 6 species